GUCGUGCUUUUCAUAUUUCACCGUUGGGUUUUGAUAGAUAUAGAGGAUGAAGUUAGAGAAUUGGGGGAAAGAAGAGGAACUUCAAGUUUGGAUGCCCAAGUGAUGAAUUAUGGGAGAUGACACUACCUGUAAGACAAUUCAUAUAAUUGUCUUAGGCUGAGAAGGUUGGUCGGGAUUCAAGGGGGAUGCUUGGCCUACAUUACCUGUGUUUAAUUCAUAAAUUGGAGGUGUUUUUGGAGUAAUAGAAGGGACAAGUAGAGUUCACCUAGUCAGUUGCUGACCAAAGAAUUUAUGCUCAAUAACCCUUAGAUUUACAUCGAAUGGUG